UACGUAGGGGGCAAGCGUUGUCCGGAUUCAUUGGGCGUAAAGCGCGCGCAGGCGGUCCUUUAAGUCGGGGGUGAAAGCCCAGAGCUCAACUCUGGAACUGCCUUCGAAACUAGAGGACUUGGGUACGGGAGAGGUGAGUGGAAUUCCGAGUGUAGAGGUGAAAUUCGUAGAUAUUCGGAAGAACACCCGUGGCGAAGGCGGCUCUCUGGGACGGUACUGACGCUGAGACGCGAAAGCGUGGGGAGCGAACAGG
rnacentral:rRNA from 1 species